rnacentral:rRNA from 1 species
CUCAGGAUGAACGCUAGCGGCGGGCUUAACACAUGCAAGUCGAACGGUAACAGUUCCUUCGGGAAGCUGACGAGUGGCGAACGGGUGCGUAACGCGUAUGCAACCUGCCUCUGACAGGGGGAUAGCCCAGAGAAAUCCGGAUUAAUACCCCAUAUUAUACCGAAUGGCAUCAGGAAGGUAUGAAAGCUUCGGCGGUCAGAGAUGGGCAUGCGUCAGAUUAGCUAGUUGGUGAGGUAAAGGCUCACCAAGGCGAUGAUCUGUAGGGGGCCCGAGAGGGUGAUCCCCCACACUGGUACUGAGACACGGACCAGACUCCUACGGGAGGCAGCAGUGAGGAAUAUUGGACAAUGGAGGGAACUCUGAUCCAGCCACGCCGCGUGCAGGAAUAAGGCCUUAUGGGUUGUAAACUGCUUUUAUAUGGGAAUAAACCGCCCCACGUGUUGGGGUGCUGAAGGUACCGUAUGAAUAAGUACCGGCUAACUCCGUGCCAGCAGCCGCGGUAAUACGGAGGGUACAAGCGUUAUCCGGAUUUAUUGGGUUUAAAGAGUCCGUAGGCGGGCUGAUAAGUCAGUGGUGAAAGCCUGCAGCUUAACUGUAGAAUUGCCAUUGAUACUGUCAGUCUUGAGUGAGGUUGAAGCAGCUGGAAUAUGUGGUGUAGCGGUGAAAUGCAUAGAGAUCACAUAGAACACCGAUUGCGAAGGCAGGUUGCUAAGCCUUAACUGACGCUGAGGGACGAAAGCGUGGGGAGCGAACAGGAUUAGAUACCCUGGUAGUCCACGCCGUAAACAAUGAUUACUCGGUGUUGGGUUUUAAUUCGGCGCCCAAGCGAAAGUGAUAAGUAAUCCACCUGGGGAGUACGUUCGCAAGAAUGAAACUCAAAGGAAUUGACGGGGGCCCGCACAAGCGGUGGAGCAUGUGGUUUAAUUCGAUGAUACGCGAGGAACCUUACCAGGGCUUAAAUGCAGGGCGACGGUUUUGGAAACAGGACUUUCUUCGGACGGCCUGCAAGGUGCUGCAUGGUUGUCGUCAGCUCGUGCCGUGAGGUGUCAGGUUAAGUCCUAUAACGAGCGCAACCCCUAUCGUUAGUUGCCAGCGUGUCAUGACGGGGACUCUAACGAGACUGCCGGUGCAAACCGAGAGGAAGGCGGGGAUGACGUCAAAUCAUCACGGCCCUUACGUCCUGGGCUACACACGUGCUACAAUGGUCGGUACAGAGGGCAGCUACACCGCGAGGUGAUGCGAAUCUCAAAAGCCGAUCUCAGUUCGGAUCGCAGUCUGCAACUCGACUGCGUGAAGCCGGAAUCGCUAGUAAUCGCAAAUCAGCCAUGUUGCGGUGAAUACGUUCCCGGGCCUUGUACACACCGCCCGUCAAGCCAUGGAAGCCGGGAGUACCUGAAGUCGGUGACCGCAAGGAGCUGCCUAGGGUAAAACCGGUGACUGGGGC